GAGUAACGCGGUAUGCAACCUACCUAGUCGAGAGGGGAAUAACCCGGCGAAAGUCGGACUAAUACCGCAUAAAACAGGGGCACCGCAUGGUGAUAUUUGUUAAAGAAAUUCGCUGAUAGGUGGGCAUGCGUUCCAUUAGGUAGUUGGUGAGGUAACGGCUCACCAAGCCGACGAUGGAUAGGGGGACUGAGAGGUUGGUCCCCCCACACUGGUACUGAGACACGGACCAGACUCCUACGGGAGGCAGCAGUGAGGAAUAUUGGUCAAUGGGCGGGAGCCUGAACCAGCCAAGUCGCGUAGAAGGAAGAAGGAUCUAUGGUUCGUAAACUUCUUUUGCAGGGGAAUAAAGUGCAGGACGUGUCCUGUUUUGUAUGUACCCUGAGAAUAAGGAUCGGCUAACUCCGUGCCAGCCGCCGC
rnacentral:rRNA from 1 species